GUCGAGGAAGUGCUCGUUUAAGGAUGCCGAAAUAUCAUUUCUGGAAAGACCGGACCCAAAUAAAUUUGAAGUUUUGUUUGCGGACCUUCGAUAAAAAUAGUUGAGUAGCCCUGGCCUAGCGUACCAUCUCAACCAGUGGUCCAUGGCCCGCUGCUGGGCCGCAGAAAAUUUUCAGGUGGUCUACAAACCUAUUAAAAAUUGUUGAUAAAUUAGUUGAAUUCGAUUGUAUUAGAAAUUAAUGAUAAUGCGUUUUUUUGUAUCAAAUGGUAAUUUUCAUUAUAAUUAUUAAAGUUGAAGUGCAUAUCUUUGCAAAAGAGUUUUUUGUAGUUUUUCUCUUGCAUACAAAAGUUGAGGCCACAGAAUUUUUUGUGCACAGAAAGUGGGCCGCAAAAAAAAAUGUUGGGAACCACUUGCCUAGCAGUUAAAGUGUUAACUGCGUUGGCAUAUGAGAUUACACAUUUCGGGUUCAAAUUCUAUGGCACCACCUGACCCAAAUAAAUUAGGCGAUAUUAAAUAUCAUAUAAAAAAGGGUGCGCCUGUAUCAGGUUGUGCGCCAUCUUGGUGCACAUACUACUAAAUAGUUCAGAAUCAAGUAAUUUUACAACACAAAAAUCAAGUCCAUUUAAUAUACCAAUCGCGUUUAUGACUCUGUUGAAGCGAUAAAUGGUAGAGAGUUGGGUUAUUGCCCAUCUUGUUCAUCUCGGAUAAAAGUGAGGUAAUAACCGGUAUAGAACGUGUGAAUAACUGCAGCAUUAACCAUGGAUUUCUAGCUUGUGCUUUCUAACCUACUAAUUGUGUAUUCAGUUGAAUAAUAACAUUAACUGCCUUUAAUUAUCAUCAAUGAUUUUGAUUGUGUUAAUUUUCAUUUCUAGUGAUCACGCUUUCGAUGCUGUUGUAUUCAGUACUGUUUAUUACUAUUAAUAUUAUUGUAACGUCAUUUCAUUAUUAAAAUAAAGUGACAAAUUCGUCA